rnacentral:rRNA from 1 species
AAUGGACGAAAGUCUGACGCAGCAACGCCGCGUGGGUGAUGAAGGUCUUCGGAUUGUAAAACCCUGUCGUCAGGGACGAAGGUUGGGGCUUUAAUAGAGUUUCAACUUGACGGUACCUGGAGAGGAAGCCCCGGCUAACUCUGUGCCAGCAGCCGCGGUAAUACAGAGGGGGCAAGCGUUAUUCGGAAUUACUGGGCGUAAAGGGCGCGUAGGCGGUUCUUUAAGUCGGAUGUGCAAUCCCCGAGCUCAACUUGGGAACUGCAUCCGAAACUGGGGAGCUAGAGUGCUGGAGAGGGUGGUGGAAUUCCACGUGUAGCGGUGAAAUGCGUAGAGAUGUGGAGGAACACCAGUGGCGAAGGCGGCCACCUGGACAGUAACUGACGCUGAGGCGCGAAAGUGUGGGUAGCAAA